CGUGUGUGUGUUAAAGAGCACA
rnacentral:misc_RNA from 1 species